rnacentral:rRNA from 1 species
CCUACGGGAGGCUGCAGUGGGGAAUAUUGGACAAUGGGGGGAACCCUGAUCCAGCCAUGCCGCGUGUGUGAAGAAGGCCCUCGGGUUGGAAAGCACUUUCAGUGAGGAAGAACGCCUGGUGGUUAAUACCCAUCAGGAAAGACAUCAGUCACAGAAGAAGCACCGGCUAACUCCGUGCCAGCAGCCGCGGGAAUACGGAGGGUGCGAGCGUUAAUCGGAAUUACUGGGCGUAAAGCGCGCGUAGGUGGCUUGAUAAGCCGGUUGUGAAAGCCCCGGGCUCAACCUGGGAACGGCAUCCGGAACUGUCAAGCUAGAGUGCAGGAGAGGAAGGUAGAAUUCCCGGUGUAGCGGUGAAAUGCGUAGAGAUCGGGAGGAAUACCAGUGGCGAAGGCGGCCUUCUGGACUGACACUGACACUGAGGUGCGAAAGCGUGGGUAGCAAACAGGAUUAGAUACCCGAGUAGUC